rnacentral:rRNA from 1 species
ACGGGAGAGUAACACGUGGGAACGUACCUUUCGGUUCGGAAUAACCCAGGGAAACUUGGGCUAAUACCGGAUACGCCCGCAAGGGGAAAGAUUUAUUGCCGAAAGAUCGGCCCGCGUCCGAUUAGCUUGUUGGUGGGGUAACGGCCCACCAAGGCGACGAUCGGUAGCUGGUCUGAGAGGAUGAUCAGCCUCACUGGGACUGAGACACGGCCCAGACUCCUACGGGAGGCAGCAGUGGGGAAUAUUGGACAAUGGGCGCAAGCCUGAUCCAGCCAUGCCGCGUGGGUGAUGAAGGCCUUAGGGUUGUAAAGCCCUUUCGGCGGGGAAGAUAAUGACGGUACCCGCAGAAGAAGCCCCGGCUAACUUCGUGCCAGCAGCCGCGGUAAUACGAAGGGGGCUAGCGUUGCUCGGAAUCACUGGGCGUAAAGCGCACGUAGGCGGGUCUUUAAGUCAGGGGUGAAAUCCUGGAGCUCAACUCCAGAACUGCCUUUGAUACUG